AAAUCCGACUGGUACGCAGGCGCCCAUUUCGGGCAUACAAAGGGAAGCCGGGUGAGAAUCCCGCACAAAGCCGUUGCUGUAUAGGCGGAGCGGACCCCCACAGCGCCACUGGAGGCAACUCCGGGAAGGCGGGGACCGCGCUGGACGCCGAAGUCAGAAUACCUGCCUGCGUAUGACGCACAUC
rnacentral:ncRNA from 1 species